UUUUCUGUGAUAAUUUUUUUUUUCGUUUUUUUGCUCGUAAUUUUCGAUUCUGUGAACAACAAAUUGAAACUAGGGAAGAUUUAUAUCAACAUUUAGAGUGCACAUAUGAUGCUAGGUUUACACUAAAAAUGUAAGGCUUACUUAGUAAAAAAAUGGUGUUAUGGCAUAUGUCUAUUAUUGGUAUAAUCUUUGGUUUUUGCCCGAUAGUCUUUGCUUUUCUUUUCUGCAUCAGAGUGGUGGUAGUUGUUGGCUAAUUUGCUGGGAGCAAAUAUUUGAUGCAAAAACAUCAGGGAUUCAGUAAUUUUGGCUAUUGUCAACAACUCUUCUUUAAGUGCGUAUAAUACAUGUUGACUACUCUUUGUGUAGUCUCAUUAUUCACUAGUACAAAAUCUGAUUUUUAGGACACUGGGGAUGUGGGGGAAACGACAGACCCCAUUCGUGGUUAUACAUUUUAACAGUUGGGAUUUGUCGAAACAUUUUUCUUCAGUUAAUUUACGGUACGAACCUGUCGAAUUUUUCGGUUAUGUUUACCCCCAACUCCUUCAAAGUUCUACCCCUAUCGGAUAUGAAUAAGAACCCUUAAAAUCAGAUUAAUCGUAGGGUCUCAAUUAGAUCUAAAAACUACCUAAAACUGAACACACAGAGAAAAUAAAAUCUCCCCUAUUCUCCAUCUUCGUGUUUAUCAAUAAUGAACUGUCUGCUUAACUUCCUCCAUGCGAUUUUUUCUGAUUUUCUUUUUCUUAGAAUCAGAUGGAAAACUCUGUCAAUUUCGAUCCCUUCAUAUAUCUUCAAAAUCCCUGAUUUUUGAAGAAAUUGGAAUCUGACUCAAAUUUCUAAUCCACCUAACAGAGAGAUUGGAGAAUUUUUUUUCUUUUUUGAACACUAAGAUCGCUUUGUACAUCUCCAUCUUCUACCUAGAUAACCACCUUGAUUGAAGAUACAUAUAAUUUUAGCUUGGAAUGGUGAAAUUGGUGGUGGAUUGAUGGAAAAUACGAUAGUGGAGGAGAAUCAUCAUCGAAAAGGUGAAGAAACCCAGGGUGGAGAAGAGUUUCUCUUAUGCAGUUAUUGCAGAUUUUUUUUAGGUCAAGGGAACUUCCUGUGGUUCAAGGGAUACAAAGUUUCCGGAGAAGAAACAAAAGCUAUGUGAUUUCGAGCUGCAGGUGAGCAAUGUGUCAUUAACUGUGGAUUUUUUUUUUGGGUUCUCUAUAUGUUAUUUAGAGUAAAUCCGGGAAGGAGUUAAAAAAGUUGCUAGGAAAUUCAGCUGGAAUGAAUGAUUCAGAUGCUGGAAGCUCAUGUUAUUUCAUUCAAGAGUACCUAAAUUUCACUUAACCUUCCAUGUGUUCUUUUUUGUCAAGAUGUUUGUUCCCUUGCAUUUCCAAAAGUAUUUUUCAGUAGAUCUUGGUUGAAGUUUUUAGCAGUGUUGACUGAUUAUCAUGGUGUAGUUUCUCUUAAGCAGUUUUUGCAGAUUGUUACAAGCUAAGGGAAGCCACCACUGUUGUUGAGGUAGGAUGUAACUUCAAGGAUGUCGGAUGGUGCAUAAGGAACAAACAUCUAUUCUUGUUGGAGAUAGAAAUUUAUGGAUAAUGUUUAAAAAAAUAGAAACAGUAGAUUAUGAAUGAUUUUGGAGGUUCGAAACCUCUUGUGGUUGAAGGGAUACGAUAUUCCAUAGAUGAAAUAAAACCAGGUAAUGAGUAAUGUGCUGGUAGUAUUAACUGUGGAUUUUGUUUUUGGCUUAUUUAUAUGUCGUUCGAGUUCAAAUCUUCUUUGGUGCAUGCUGAAGGAUUUAUGAAAGAUCAGAAAGACAUAGAAGAAACAAUGGGAGAAUUGAGUCCAGCAUUCAUAAGAUUUACUGAUAAUGUGAAGAUGGUUAUUGUCUAAGAAUAUGAAAGAAUCAAGGUGACAUCGUACUGGUACUGGGCUAUAGGUACACAAAUUAGGUGUAUUUGUUAUCUGUUGUUUAGAUAUUUAAAUCGCAUAGUUACAAGAAAAAGUUCCAUUAACAUUUCAUUUGUUUAGGUUGUUUACUGUUUCUAACAGCGAUAGGCACACUUACCUGGUAGAUCACUACUCUUGGUUUACAGUGAAAAUCCAAUCAUUCUCUCUAUUCCUUGAAGUUAAAUAUUGAAAAUCCCAUUCACAGGUGUGCUUCUCUAUUCUUGGUGCUGGGGCGUUGUGUUCAAGGUAGUAGUGUAAGCUAGACAUUAAGUUUGUCAGGAAACUGUCUUAUAGCGGUUAAGAGAUUUCUUUAGCCAUGCUUCAAAACGGUAGUGCCUUCAAAUGAAGUGGAUAAAUAUAAUAAAUGUAAUCUUGAUACUUCUCUUAUAUGUGAAUUUUGGCUUCUCGCUCAUAUUACUCACUUUGGUCUCUGUUGAUUGUAUGCUUUGAUAACACUCUGUCGUUUUACGCAUGUUUGGAUAUGUCCAUUUACAGGUCUGCUCUCUCUUCUUGGUGAUAGGGUGUCGUGUUCAAGUGGCUUACAACAGUGGAUAUUGGAUUUCUGGAAGGUCGGCGUCCUUAACUUAAAGAUGCAGAUGUUACGAUCAAUCCUUCAAAAGGUUUGUCUCUGCUUACUGGAGGUAUAUCGUCUGAUGAACAAAAGAAGCUCGGGCAUCUGGAAGUUAAAUAUGUUUAAAUAUUUUUUUAUUUUCUUUGUUGUAUUGAACAUGAAGUAGCUUCUAUUGGUUCUGGUUUCUCAAGUUGUAAUUUUUCUUUUGAAGCAUUGGUUGUAAUUGAAUCUAAGUUAAUUAUAAUAAAUUUGUUUGA